AGAGUUUGAUCCUGGCUCAGAUUGAACGCUGGCGGCAUGCCUUACACAUGCAAGUCGAACGGCAGCGGGGACUUCGGUCCGCCGGCGAGUGGCGAACGGGUGAGUAAAGUAUCGGAACGUACCUUUCAGUGGGGGAUAACGUAGCGAAAGUUACGCUAAUACCGCAUAUUCUGUGAGCAGGAAAGCAGGGGAUCGCAAGACCUUGCGCUGAUUGAGCGGCCGAUAUCAGAUUAGCUAGUUGGUGGGGUAAAGGCCUACCAAGGCGACGAUCUGUAGCGGGUCUGAGAGGAUGAUCCGCCACACUGGAACUGAGACACGGUCCAGACUCCUACGGGAGGCAGCAGUGGGGAAUUUUGGACAAUGGGGGCAGCCCUGAUCCAGCCAUGCCGCGUGAGUGAAGAAGGCCUUCGGGUUGUAAAGCUCUUUCGGCCGGGAAGAAAUCGCACAGGCUAAUACCCUGUGUGGAUGACGGUACCGGAAUAAGAAGCACCGGCUAACUACGUGCCAGCAGCCGCGGUAAUACGUAGGGUGCGAGCGUUAAUCGGAAUUACUGGGCGUAAAGCGUGCGCAGGCGGUUUCGUAAGACAGAGGUGAAAUCCCCGGGCUCAACCUGGGAACUGCCUUUGUGACUGCGAGGCUAGAGUACGGCAGAGGGGGGUGGAAUUCCACGUGUAGCAGUGAAAUGCGUAGAGAUGUGGAGGAACACCGAUGGCGAAGGCAGCCCCCUGGGCCGAUACUGACGCUCAUGCACGAAAGCGUGGGUAGCAAACAGGAUUAGAUACCCUGGUAGUCCACGCCCUAAACGAUGUCAACUAGGUGUUGGGUGGGUAAAACCAUUUAGUACCGUAGCUAACGCGUUAAGUUGACCGCCUGGGGAGUACGGCCGCAAGGUUAAAACUCAAAGGAAUUGACGGGGACCCGCACAAGCGGUGGAUGAUGUGGAUUAAUUCGAUGCAACGCGAAAACCUUACCUACCCUUGACAUGUCCAGAAGCCCGGAGAGAUUUGGGUGUGCCCGAAAGGGAGCUGGAACACAGGUGCUGCAUGGCUGUCGUCAGCUCGUGUCGUGAGAUGUUGGGUUAAGUCCCGCAACGAGCGCAACCCUUGUCGUUAAUUGCCAUCAUUUAGUUGGGCACUUUAACGAGACUGCCGGUGACAAACCGGAGGAAGGUGGGGAUGACGUCAAGUCCUCAUGGCCCUUAUGGGUAGGGCUUCACACGUCAUACAAUGGUCGGUACAGAGGGUUGCCAAGCCGCGAGGUGGAGCCAAUCCCAGAAAGCCGAUCGUAGUCCGGAUUGCAGGCUGCAACUCGCCUGCAUGAAGUCGGAAUCGCUAGUAAUCGCGGAUCAGCAUGUCGCGGUGAAUACGUUCCCGGGUCUUGUACACACCGCCCGUCACACCAUGGGAGCGGGUUCCGCCAGAAGUAGGUAGCCUAACCGCAAGGGGGGCGCUUACCACGGCGGGGUUCGUGACUGGGGUGAAGUCGUAACAAGGUA
rnacentral:rRNA from 1 species